rnacentral:rRNA from 1 species
GAUGAACGCUAGCUACAGGCUUAACACAUGCAAGUCGAGGGGUAAUGAGAGGAAAGCUUGCUUUCCUUGUCGACGACCGGCGCACGGGUGAGUAACGCGUAUCCAACCUGCCCCCAACUAGGGAAUAACCUUGCGAAAGUAAGACUAAUACCCUAUAAUUUCCUCAGAUGUCAUCUGACGAGGAAUAAAGAUUUAUCGGUUGUGGAUGGGGAUGCGUCUGAUUAGCUUGUUGGCGGGGUAACGGCCCACCAAGGCAACGAUCAGUAGGGGUUCUGAGAGGAAGGUCCCCCACAUUGGAAAUGACACACGGUCCAAACUCCUACGGGAGGCAGCAGUGAGGAAUAUUGGUCAAUGGGCGGAAACCUGAACCAGCCAAGUAGCGUGCAGGAUGACGGCCCUAUGGGUUGUAAACUGCUUUUAUACAGGAAUAAAGUUAGCCACGUGUGGUUAUUUGUAGGUACUGUAUGAAUAAGGACCGGCUAAUUCCGUGCCAGCAGCCGCCGUAA